UUUUUUGAAUCCUCUCCAAAUUGAGUGACCCACAUAUUCCUUCCCUCUCUCUUUCUCUCUCUGGACCUCCCCUUUUCUCUGUCUCUUCACCUUCGCCGCCGACCUCCCCUUCUCUCUGUCUCUUCACUUUCGCCGUCGCGCCUCCAGCAACAAUCGGAUCCGUCUCGCCUCCGCCGCUCUUUUUCUCCCACGACUGGGAUUCAACGUCUGGUUUUGUAAAUCAGCAAAUCGCUUCACCAGAAUCCAACAACUAAAGUUGAUUUUUUUGGGGGAAAGAGCGAGCAAGAAACUACCAUUUCUAGAGAGAGACUGAGAGAGGGAGAGAGAGAGGAAGAUGUUGGAGUCCUGUUACAGGCCACUGGAGCGGUGCUUCGACUGCGAUGGCGGCGGUGCCGGAGGCGACGGGCUUCUGUAGAACAUGGGCUUGAAGCCCCACGCUUCCGGAGACUACUCGAUUACGGUGGCUCAAGCGAAUUCUGCGCUGGAAGACCAAGGCCAGGUUUUUACGUCGCCUUCCGCCACCUUCGUCGGCGUCUACGACGGCCACGAAGGCCCCGAAGCCUCUCACUUCAUCACCCAUCACCUCUUUCCUUUACUCCACAUUAGGUUGGAAGAAAAGAAGAAAAUGAAUUUAUGAACUUUGUUAGAAAAAACAAGGGCAGCUAUUUAUAGGGAUAAUUAUUGAAUUUGCUUUGGAAGGAGGAGGAUUGUCUGCGGAGGUGAUAAAGAGGGCAUUUGAUGCCACUGAAGAGGAGUUUAUUCGCUUGGUGAAGCGGUCAUGGAUGGCUCGGCCACAAAUUGCUUUUUUUGGUUCUUUCUGUCUUGUUGGCGUGAUUUUCGAUAACAUCUUGCUUUUGUAGAAUGAUUUAUUUAUGCUUAUGCCUACACUUUGUUGUUUUCUCCCGGGUGAUUUCACAUUUGGUGGGUUCACACUAAGAAUGAGAUUAUCCUUGUGGGGUGGUUCAUAAUCAUAAGUGUAGAAUAUAUAUUUGCAUAUUGAUUUAUCUUUGCACAUGUUCUAAUUCUAUGGAAAGUUGCCAUGUUUUAUAAUGUCCAUAUCCAGCUUCUUAAGUGUACAAACAAUGUUACAUCUUAGUAUCCUCAAUUUUUUUUUUUCUUUUGAGUUUUCAGAGCACCUGAGUAUAAGAUGCAAUGUGAGAACUGUUUAUUGAUGUAAGCUUCUGUAGGACUUUUUUUUUUUUUUUUAUCAGAACUAUAAUCUCUCUCUUGUGUUGCUUAUAUUGACUGGUUAAUUUCAUGGUUAUGCAAUGGUUUGUGCCAAAGGUAUGAUCUUAAUAAAAAUACCCUCACUAACUUCUUAAUAUAUUCACCGGAUUGCGUUGCCUCUAAUGUAAGACACAUGCUACCAGGUGGUGCUAAUGUGUGAUUCUGAGAACAUUAAUUCUUUGUGUAUGGCAUAAAGUUAAUGGCAUAUGCAAUCUAUUGUUCAUGCUGUUUUGGCAGUUUUUGUGAGUACGUGUUUCUAUUUCUACUCUUGAAAUGUUGUUUAUGUUUCCAGGUUAAUGCCUGCUCCAGGUAUGCCGCCAAUGAUUAUGCCAUCAGGUGCUGCUUCCUUUCCUGUUCAGGUUAAUAGCCUCCCAAGGCCAGCAACAAUGAUUGCAGGACUAGCCGCAGCUCCAGGGGCCCCCAUGGCUAAUUCUAGUAGUUCUACCCCUGCUAUGCAUCAGGCUAAUUCAGCCUCGACUACUAGUGGAGGUUUUGACAGUUUUGACAGUUCAAUAUGAGUGCUCAAGCUCCUGAGGCCAACCAUUAGUCCUGUCAAGCUUGUGUAGGUUUUGCCAUUAGAUCUUGUAAAACCGUGCAACUAUAGGAUUAUUGACAUUUGUGGAACGUGAACAACUGUUUUGAUGUUUGCCGUUAGUAUUUUGGUCAAGGUUAUACUUAAAAUCAGUAUUUAGUUGAGCUGAUGUCUGGUAUGAAAUAAAUUACCUUGUUGUUCUAAUCUACUAUUCAAAAUUUUGGAUGCUUUUGUUUUUUACUUGAAAACAUACUUUGGUUCAAAUGAGGCCUGUUUGA